CUUCAAGCUCAAGACUGUCGAGGUGGGUUUGAGAGGGCCUCAGUGCAAAGCCAGGGACAAAAGUGCGCAGAAGGGAAAAAGAGAGCAGUAAAGAAGAGCUGCAUAUGGAGAGACAACGGAGAACAAGGUAAGAGUUAUGCCAGAACGGACACUAGGACUUGUCUACGUGUCAGUGUUGACGUGUGAUCCCUCCAUGCAUUGACAUUUGGCAUCCACUAUGUCACAAUUUGUCCUAAGUCUAUCCCGAGCAUGAUUUUAGCCGCAGUUCUUUCAAAGAAAUUUGCCAGGUUCGGUUGGUUAUUAGAAAAAAAACUAGAAUCGAAUUCAACUUUUUUUUUUUUUAAUUUUAAUUUAAUUUUUCAAUUC